rnacentral:rRNA from 1 species
UACGUAGGCAGCAAGCGUUGUUCGGAAUUACUGGGCGUAAAGAGUGUGUAGGCGGUGCUCUAAGUUCGGUGUGAAAUCUCCCGGCUUAACUGGGAGGGUGCGCCGGAAACUGGAGUGCUCGAGCGUGGGAGAGGAAAGCGGAAUUCCUGGUGUAGCGGUGAAAUGCGUAGAUAUCAGGAGGAACACCUGCGGUGUAGACGGCUUUCUGGACCAUUGCUGACGCUGAGGCGCGAAAGCGUGGGUAGCAAACGGG